rnacentral:rRNA from 1 species
GAUGAACGCUGGCGGCGUGCCUAAUACAUGCAAAUCGAGCGAACAGACGAGGAGCUUGCUCCUCUGACGUUAGCGGCGGACGGGUGAGUAACACGUGGAUAACCUACCUAUAAGACUGGGAUAACUUCGGGAAACCGGAGCUAAUACCGGAUAAUAUAUUGAACCGCAUGGUUCAAUAGUGAAAGACGGUCUUGCUGUCACUUAUAGAUGGAUCCGCGCCGCAUUAGCUAGUUGGUAAGGUAACGGCUUACCAAGGCAACGAUGCGUAGCCGACCUGAGAGGGUGAUCGGCCACACUGGAACUGAGACACGGUCCAGACUCCUACGGGAGGCAGCAGUAGGGAAUCUUCCGCAAUGGGCGAAAGCCUGACGGAGCAACGCCGCGUGAGUGAUGAAGGUCUUCGGAUCGUAAAACUCUGUUAUUAGGGAAGAACAAAUGUGUAAGUAACUAUGCACGUCUUGACGGUACCUAAUCAGAAAGCCACGGCUAACUACGUG